UACGGGGGGGGCAAGCGUUGUUCGGAAUUACUGGGCGUAAAGGGCUCGUAGGUGGCCAACUAAGUCAGACGUGAAAUCCCUCGGCUUAACCGGGGAACUGCGUCUGAUACUGGAUGGCUUGAGUUUGGGAGAGGGACGCGGAAUUCCAGGUGUAGCGGUGAAAUGCGUAGAUAUCUGGAGGAAUACCGGUGGCGAAGGCGGCAUCCUGGACCGACAUUGACGCUGAGGAGCGAAAGCUAGGGGAGCAAACGGG
rnacentral:rRNA from 1 species